GGGGAAUUUUCCGCAAUGGGCGAAAGCCUGACGGAGCAAUACCGCGUGAGGGAUGACUGCCUAUGGGUUGUAAACCUCUUUUUUCAGGGAGGAAUCAAUGACGUGUACCUGAAGAAUAAGCAUCGGCUAACUCCGUGCCAGCAGCCGCGGUAAGACGGAGGAUGCAAGUGUUAUCCGGAAUCACUGGGCGUAAAGCGUCUGUAGGUGGUUUAAUAAGUCAACUGUUAAAUCUUGAGGCUCAACCUCGAAACCGCAGUCGAAACUAUUAGACUAGAGUAUAGUAGGGGUAAAGGGAAUUUCCAGUGGAGCGGUGAAAUGCGUAGAGAUUGGAAAGAACACCGAUGGCGAAGGCACUUUACUGGGCUAUUACUAACACUGAGAGACGAAAGCUAGGGUAGCAAAUGGGAUUAGAUACCCCAGUAGUC
rnacentral:rRNA from 1 species